AAACCAACAGGGAUUGCCUUAGUAACUGCGAGUGAAGCGGCAAGAGCUCAAAUUUGAAAUCUGGCACCUUCGGUGUCCGAGUUGUAAUUUGUAGAAGCAUCUUUUGGAUUGGUCCUUGCAUAUGUUCCUUGGAACAGGACAUCAUAGAGGGUGAGAAUCCCGUUCGUGGUGGGGAAUCCAAUUCUUUGUAAAGUGCUUUCUAAGAGUCGAGUUGUUUGGGAAUGCAGCUCUAAGUGGGUGGUAAAUUCCAUCUAAAGCUAAAUAUUGGCGAGAGACCGAUAGCGAACAAGUACAGUGAUGGAAAGAUGAAAAGAACUCCGAAAGGAGAGUGAAAAAGGACGUGAAAUUGUUGAAAGGGAAGUGCUUGAGAUCAGUCUUAAGGUUUAGUGAUCAGUCUUCCUUUUGGUUGGUGCACUCACUAUUUCUUAGGCCAACAUCAGUUUGGGCGGCAGGAUAAUGACAUUGGAAUGUGGCUCUUUCGGGAGUGUUAUAGCCUUUGUUGAUACUGCCUGCUUGGACUGAGGACUGCGCUUCGGCUAGGAUGUUGGCAUAAUGAUCUUAAGCAGC
rnacentral:rRNA from 1 species